AGCCAGUGUAGCAUAGUGAUUUGGGUGUUGGACUAUGACUCUGGAAUCCAAGGUUCAAAUCCCAGCUUGGCUA
rnacentral:tRNA from 1 species